AUACAGAGGAUGCAAGCGUUAAUCGGAAUUACUGGGCGUAAAGGGCGCGUAGGCGGCCCGUUAAGUCUCAUGUGAAAUCUCCCGGCUCAACUGGGAGGGGUCAUGGGAAACUGACAGGCUUGAGGGCAGCAGAGGGAAGCGGAAUUCCCGGAGUAGUGGUGAAAUGCGUAGAUACCGGGAGGAGCACCAGUGGCGAAAGCGGCUUCCUGGACUGUACCUGACGCUGAGGCGCGAAAGCGUGGGGAGCAAACCGGAUUAGAAACCCGAGUAGUCC
rnacentral:rRNA from 1 species